UGGACAGAUUAUUGUAUUCGACUAUAUUCACGGCGUAAAAUAGGGGAUUACACUGUUUUUAAAACGGAAAGUGAAUCAAUUAACAUAAUAGACUCCU
rnacentral:pre_miRNA from 1 species